rnacentral:rRNA from 1 species
AGCGAACGCUGGCGGCAGGCUUAACACAUGCAAGUCGAGCGGGCGUAGCAAUACGUCAGCGGCAGACGGGUGAGUAACGCGUGGGAACGUACCUUUUGGUUCGGAACAUCACAGGGAAACUUGUGCUAAUACCGGAUAAGCCCUUACGGGGAAAAAUUUAUCGCCGAAAGAUCGGCCCGCCUCUGAUUAGCUAGUUGGUGAGGUAACGGCUCACCAAGCCGACGAUCAGUAGGUGGUCUGAGAGGAUGAUCAGCCACAUUGGGACUGAGACACGGCCCAAACGCCUACGGUAGGCAGCAGUGGGGAAUAUUGGACAAUAGGCGCAAGCCGGUGCCAGCCAUGCCGCGUGAGUGAUGAAGGCCCUAGGGUUGUAAAGCUCUUUUGUGCGGGAAGAUAAUGACGGUACCGCAAGAAUAAGCCCCGGCUAACUUCGUGCCAGCAGCCGCCGUAAUAC